rnacentral:rRNA from 1 species
UGAGGAAUAUUGGACAAUGGGCGCAAGCCUGAUCCAGCCAUGCCGCGUGCAGGAAGACGGCCCUAUGGGUUGUAAACUGCUUUUAUACGGGAAGAAACACUCCGACGUGUCGGAGCUUGACGGUACCGUAAGAAUAAGGAUCGGCUAACUCCGUG